AGAGUUUGAUCUUGGCUCAGGACGAACGCUUGCGGCGUGCCUAAGAAAUGCAAGUCGAGCGAGGUUAGAGAGCUUGCUCUCGAAGCCUAGCGGCGAACGGUCGCGUAACACGUAAGCAACCUACCUUAAAGUUGGGGAUAGCCCGCCGAAAGGCGGAUUAAUACCGAAUGUGGAUGUCUUUUCGCAUGUAUUGACAUCUGAAGCAGCAAUGCGCUUUAAGAUGGGCUUGCGGCCUAUCAGCUAGUUGGCGGGGUAACGGCUCACCAAGGCGACGACGGGUAGCUGGUCUGAGAGGAUGGUCAGCCGGACUGGGACUGAGAUACGGCCCAGACUCCUACGGGGGGCAGCAAUUAGGAAUCUUGCGCAAUGGGCGAAAGCCUGACGCAGCGACGCCGCGUGACUGAUGAAGUCCUUCGGGAUGUAAAGGUCUUUUGCAGGGGAAGAAGGAUGUGACGGUACCCUGCGAAUAAGCUCCGGCUAACUACGUGCCAGCAGCCGCGGUAAUACGUAGGGAGCGAGCGUUGUCCGAAUUCACUGGGCGUAAAGCGCGCGUAGGCGGGUUUUUAAGUUGGGGGUGAAAUCCCGGAGCUCAACUCCGGAACUGCCUCCAAAACUGGAAGCCUUGAGGUAUGGAGAGGGAAGUGGAAUUCCUGGUGUAGCGGUGAAAUGCGUAGAUAUCAGGAGGAACACCCGUGGCGAAGGCGGCUUCCUGGCCAUAUCCUGACGCUGAGGUGCGAAAGCUAGGGGAGCGAACGGGAUUAGAUACCCCGGUAGUCCUAGCCGUAAACGAUGGAUACUAGGUGUUAGAGGUAUCGACCCCUCUAGUGCCGAAGCUAACGCAUUAAGUAUCCCGCCUGGGGAGUACGGCCGCAAGGCUG
rnacentral:rRNA from 1 species